rnacentral:rRNA from 1 species
CGAUAACGGCGUCGAGCGGCGGACGGGUGAGUAAUGCCUAGGAAAUUGCCCUGGUGUGGGGGAUAACCAUUGGAAACGAUGGCUAAUACCGCAUAAUACCUACGGGUCAAAGAGGGGGACCUUCGGGCCUCUCGCGUCAGGAUAUGCCUAGGUGGGAUUAGCUAGUUGGUGAGGUAAUGGCUCACCAAGGCGACGAUCCCUAGCUGGUCUGAGAGGAUGAUCAGCCACACUGGAACUGAGACACGGUCCAGACUCCUACGGGAGGCAGCAGUGGGGAAUAUUGCACAAUGGGCGCAAGCCUGAUGCAGCCAUGCCGCGUGUGUGAAGAAGGCCUUCGGGUUGUAAAGCACUUUCAGUCGUGAGGAAGGUGGUGGUGUUAAUAGCUGUAUCAUUUGACGUUAGCGACAGAAGAAGCACCGGCUAACUCCGUGCCAGCAGCCGC